AUCCGGUUCUACUCCAUCUGGUUUGGGUCCAUCCGGUUCUGGUCCUAUUUUCGAUAAUAGGUCGCCAGUGGAUGAAAACCCUAAUGUGGAGGAGGAACGUGUUGCUAGUGAUGGGCGGACAUGGGUUUAUUUCACUCGUAGUAUUCUGAGGCCGACUGGAGCUAUUCGGGCUAGGGCGACUGAUAGCUUUCAAGGUAUGCCACAUGAAAGUGGCACCAAUUGGAAGAAUUUGACUGAGGGGAUGAGGGAUUUUUAUUUUGAUGAGUUUGAGAAAGCAUUUUGUUGGGAUAAAACGCAACAUACCAGGCAUGUUAUUAAGAAAGCGUGGGUUAAGUCAGCUCGAGUGGCGUACAAGGAUUACAUCAGCAAUUGCAAGAAGGUCCUGUUGAUACAUAAGAAGAAGA